rnacentral:tRNA from 1 species
AAUCAAUGAACUUGUAUAUUAAGUAUAUAUUUUGAAAAUAUAGCAAAGAAAAAAAUUUCUAUUGAUUU